GAAUCAUUCGCAAUGGGCGAAAGCCUGACGGUGCGACGCCGCGUGAAGGAUGAAGGUCUUCGGAUCGUAAACUUCUGUCAUUUGAGAACAAGUGUCGAAGCAAUAACUGGCUCCGAUUUGAUAGUACCAAAAGAGGAAGAGACGGCUAACUCUGUGCCAGCAGCCGCGGUAAUACAGGGGUCUCAAGCGUUGUUCGGAUUCAUUGGGCGUAAAGGGUGCGUAGGCGGCGCCGUAAGUCGGAUGUGAAAUCCCGAAGCUCAACUUCGGAACUGCAUUCGAUACUGCGGUGCUGGAGGACUGGAGAGGAGAUCGGAAUUCAUGGUGUAGCAGUGAAAUGCGUAGAUAUCAUGAGGAAGACCAGUGGCGAAGGCGGAUCUCUGGACAGUUCCUGACGCUGAGGCACGAAGGCUAGGGUAGCGAACGGG
rnacentral:rRNA from 1 species